ACCUGCUGCGAAAAAAACCAUUGAAAAAACAAGAUAGUGAAAAAUGGAAACCUAAACAAAGUGCAGUUAAGAUUGUCACAGUUUUUCCUAAAAAUAUUGCAGUUUAAGUGAAUAAUUUCUUGUUGUGUCUCACUGAAAUGGCGAAUACCUAGUCUCAAUAGUGGAAUAGCUGGCCACGGUUACAAAUCUGCAGUCUGAAAGGACCACAAUGGAUAUCUGCCGUCUUACUUCCGAUCAACCCGACAGUAUCAAGAUGGUAGAAAUUGAUUUUCAAGCAUUGUGUCGCAUCUGUGGUGCACUCGGGGAGAGUUUGACCUCGGUGUUUGGGAAGCGUGCAGCCGAUCGAUUACGCGAGCGGGUGGAAAAACACUUCCAGAUCGAAAUUCUCCCGGACGAUUGCUUCCCCACCAAGAUCUGCGAUGGGUGCAGAGAAACGUUGGAUCAAUUUCACGAACUGUUUGAAAAGUGCCACCGAACGGAGGAAAAGUUUCGUGCGAUGGCAAGUGCAACCGAUGAGGGGAAAGAAGCGGAACAGGAAGCGACGGAAGUGCCAGACGGUCCUCCGAGUGGGGACGAUAUUGAGGAGGAGGAACUCGAGGUGGUCAAGAAUACAUCCAAGGAAUUGAGUCGAAGCAAGCAGGAGACGGUCGAGGGAGCAACAGAGAGGAUAAGGGAAAAUCUUCGGCACUCCAUCGAAAUUGCUGCAUCGAGGGAAGAAGAUAACGCUAUCAGUGAUUUCGAAAUCUAUGAUAAUUUUCAUGACGAUUGUCAGAUUAUAGAAGUGACAACUGAGGAGGAGAGCAGUUGCUCAAAACGUCGUCGUGCUCGCAGAAUACCACUUCCGAAAGAUUUGAUUAAACCGCGCGCAAUUUUGAACCAUGAUAAGGUCCAGUACGUGUGCCCCGAGUGCGGUAAGACCAUCAACUCGCCGUACACUUAUCUAGCUCAUUUGCGCAUACAUAGCGGAGAGCGACCAUUUGCCUGCCCACGUUGUCCACAGACCUUUCGCAUCUCACAAGGACUAAAUCGCCACGUGAGGGAAGUUCACGAAAAGCUUCGCACCUAUUCCUGCGAACUGUGUGGAAAGCUGUUUGGAAACAGCCGAAAUUUGAGCGAGCACAAAAAUUUGCAUGCCAACGAGAGACCCUACUGCUGCGACCAGUGCGGUAAAUCGUUCAACCAAAAGGCAGCCCUUUUCGUGCACAAACAAACGCAUGAAGUUCAACGCAAGUUUGUUUGCAGAGUUUGCGCGCGGGGAUUUCUAACCAGGACCAAGUUGCAGCUACAUGAAACGACCCAUUCGGAGGAGCGACCUCAUGAGUGUUUCCAGUGUAAGAGUCGAUUCCGAUCGACGCAUGACCUGGCGAGGCAUCGGAAGAGUCACUCCAGCGAGAAACCGUUCCAGUGUGCCAUCUGUGCGGUGCACUUCAAGCAGAGGCGCUAUCUGAUCAAGCAUUGUAAGACGCAGCAUUCGGAUACGAGAGCAGUCGCGGAAUGAGAGUUCGAAGUUCAGUUGUUAUUUAUACUCCGGAAUAAAAAGGGAAGAUCCAUUAGACUCGAAUUGCUUUUUUGUUGUUCCGGAUAGUCAUUCGUUAGUUUGAGUGCCGCUAUCAAGGGCAAUGUUUUCUACUAUGUAACGUUACGAGCUCACUAACGAUUACGGAAUCGUUCAAGAUGCGAAAGUGUCUCCGACAGGGCGGUCAGCUUUUCGGAUUACUAUUCAGCGUGGUUCUAGAAAGAGUGAUGUAGAGAGCUCUCGCUCACAUGCAUUGCAUAAUUUCUGAUAUGUUUUUUUAUAUUGGGCUGCUGAUAGCUAUAUAUAGUCAGUAGAUGUCAAGUACAAAUACAUUUUCAAGCCAGUUGGAUUAUUCUGGACAAGGAGUAUGGACGAUAUCAGAAGAGAACGAGUUAUCGAUUGUCGAUAUGGAAUAGGGUGUUUUGAAAGCUGGCAUGGUUUUGCUUGGUUGGCAGCAUGGUUUUGAUAGGGAAUUGCCACAUGUGUCGUCAUUUUCGACCAAUAAAAAGAGGGUAUUUCCGUUAGGAUAGGGGUUGAGAUUUUUCUAUUGUUCGAUAGUUAUUUUCAUGACAUAUAUUAUUUUCUUCAAUAUAAAAAAUUGUUAUGGAGUACCGAAAUCGAUUGACGCAAAAAUUUCAUCAAUCCAUCAUGAAAUGACUGAGCAAUAAGUGUUUGAAAUUGAAUAAUUCUCACGAUGUGCUCGAUUUUGGAUUUUCAAUUUGUACCCGUACAAAUGCCAUACAAAUGAAACACAAAUUUCUGCAUAGCUCAAGAACUAUUCAAGCAAAUAGAACCAAAUUCGGCAUGUGGAGGUUUUAGGAGGUAAGAGAUGUAUUUAUGGUGAUUCGAUCCUCACCCCCCUCUUUAAGGGAGAGCUGUCAUACAAAUGAAACGCAAAUUUCUGCAUAACUCGAGAACUAAUCAAACCAACUGAAUCAAAUUUGUCAUGUGAAGAUUUUAGAGAGCACGAUGCGUUUCUAUGGUGUUUCGACACUCAUCCCAUUACUCGAGAAGUAAGCAGGCAAACGGAGCCAAAUUUGGCAUAUGGAGGUUUUAAGGGCCAGAAAUGUUUUUAUUGUGGUACAUGAACUAAUGGAGCCAAGUUUGGGAAUUUUUUUAUGGGAUGAGAAAUGUUUCUAUGAUGGUAUGACACUCCUCCCUCCUCUGCAAUGGAGAGAUCCCAUAAAAAUAUACACAUAUUUCAACCACACAUAACAAUUGAAAAUUUUCGGAAAACUCUGAAGAAAAAUGGGAAAAUUCGGAAGAUUCCAUUCCCAUAUGAUCUACAAUUACAUAGUGACAAGCGUUGUUAGUCCAUUUGAUGUUUGCACUAGCGAAAUUGAUCUUUGUUCUCUAAACUGGAACUUGAAACUCGAGAAAGAAAUUGUCCGAUUUAGGGCUGUCUUUAUUCUGUCAUAUCAUUUAUUUCAUAUAACGGAGAAACAUGUUAUUUGCAAGAGGCUGAAAAAUCUUGAACUAGAAUUGUGUCUGAAAAUAAUCUGAUAUUGUAAUGACGAGUUUUGGUAGAAGUACUAGAAAUUUUUUAGUAAAGGUUACCUUUUUUGAAGGGUUUAUUAGAAGAUCAAUCAAUGAACAGUUCUGCGAUUGGACCCAUGAACGGUCGCUUAGCAAGAAAACGGAAAUGUUUGAUGGUAUUGAUAACAAAAAAUAAAUUUUGGUGGUUCUCUGAUUUUCACCAAAAGUGGUAAUUUUGUUCAUUAUCGCAAAAUAUCAGACUCGUAUUUCUUCAAUUUUUUUAUUAAGGUGCCCAUUUCUAUUCUAGGGGGGGCCGAAAAAUCAUCUUUUCCACUUUUUCCCCAAAAUUACUUUUUGUUUUGAUUCGUGACUUUUGAACUAUUGAACCAAUUAAGAUGAUCGACAUAUCAAAUGGAAGCCAAUGAAGCUAGUCUUUUAUUGUAAAUAUUGAACUCGCAAAAAAUUGAUUUUAUUUUUGUUAGCGCAUAAACCGGGCUAACUGCGGUUGGAUGGUUCUGGCUAAGCACACUGUGGAAAUUGAAAAACACAAGUUUUUGGAGUCCAAAAUUUCUCUUUAUAUUUCACUCAUUACACAACAUUUAGUAAUCACUUUGUCGUUGGCGGUUAGGAAAAUAACUGGGAUCAUGAAUCACGUUGUGCGUUGCUUUUAUGUUUGUCGGAAGUUGGUGAUUAUCCUGUCGGCUCGACUCGGCUCGCUCGGGUGCUGUUCGUUUGUAAUGUUGCUACUUAUUUCAUCUCGCUCUCGCACGUUGCGGGUGAUACGAUGGAAUGAAAUGGAGAGCCUUUGCUUCGGGUAGUGAAUGGAAAAUUUAUGUUGCUGACAAAAUGGAGGAUUUCAAUUUAUUUGUCCUGACAUGUCAGAACACGUAAGCGCUCGCUACACGUGGCGCGAACAUUCUCCCGGGGCGAAAUGUGACUAUUCCUUCGCUUCAAUUAUUCUUAACUGUUCGUUGUCUGGGUGUACAGCUACGAUUUUUCCCAGCUUCCAUGUUUGGGCAGGUGUGUUGUCUUUAGCUAUGAUGACUAUCAUGUUCGGCUGUAUGUUCGGACGUUUCUUUGACCAUUUUACACGAGUUUGUAGUGUGGACAAAUAUUCCUUGGACCAUCGUUUCCAAAACUGGUCCCGUAACCGGUUGAGAUACUGCCAACGAGAUAAACGAUUUGAUUGGACGUCUAAAUAAGAAGGUCUUGGUACUGGUUCCAACGGUUUUCUUUGCUGGAGAUGAGCUGGAGUUAUCGACAGCGGGUCAUUUGGAUCAUCUGAAUGUGCAUAUAAUGGACGAGAAUUUAGUAUAGCUUCAAUAUGGGUUAGCAUAGUGUAAAACUCUUCAAAUGUUAAAACAGCGGUCUGAAGAGUUCGUUUCAAGUGAUUUUUCACACUUUUUAUUCCGGCUUCCCAUAGACCGCCGAUGUUCGGUGCUCUUGGCGGAAUAAAACUCCAUUCGAUUUCCUUUGGAUGAAGAAAAUUGACAAUUCUUGAUUGCGAUGAUUCGUCCUUGAGAAAUGAAUACAAGAAAUGCAAUUCACGAGCGGCUCCUGUGAAAUUCGUUGUACUAUCGGAAAAAAUAGUUUUCACCAAACUUCUUCGAUUUACGAAACGAUCCAUGGAGGCUAGGAAGGCAUCAGUGCUCAGAUCUGUCACCAGUUCUAGAUGGAUAUUCUUUGUUGUAAGACAUACAAAUAGCGCGAUGUAAGCCUUCACGUGUUUUGGCUUAUGUUUCCCUUCCUUCACAGUGAUUGGAUCAGCGUAGUCAACACCAGUUAAUUCGAAAGGCAAAGCUGGAACCACACGAUUUUUCGGCAAACUGCCCAUUAAUUGCUGAACGCCUUUCGGAUUCAUUUUAAAACAAGUAACACAGCUGCGGACGAUCCCUGACUUUGCUCUUGUCAACCAAAAUUUCUGGCGAAUCGUAGCUAUAAGUCCUGAUGACCCGAUGUGGAGAUUUCCGACAUGUAAUGCGUGAAGUAGUGAUUCGGUAACUGGAUGACCAUGCGGUAGAAGUAAUUGAUCCUUUGCAUCAUUAUGUAGAGUCGAGUUUUGAAGACGACCACCAACUCGUAACAAUCCUUUUUCAUCUAUGAUCGGACAUAGUGAAGAUAAUUUGUUUAGAGUUUCGCCAUUGAUUGUACUAUUCACCACAAAUGAAAUUUCGAUUCCUUGAAUCACCUUCACGAUGCAUUCUAAGGACUGUCUCAUUUCGGAAACCAUAACAAACAGGGUUUUGAUUCUUUCCGAUGGUUUUGAUCGUAAAUUUCGAGUAAAGCGUUGAACAUAAGCGAUGACUCUUUGUAAUUUCCGGAAAUUGCUGAAUUUUUCAAACACUGGUAAAUAUUGAGUGGAGCUAGAUGUAACAACUAUAACAUGUUCUUUAAUUCCAGGAAGACCUUCAUCAAGAAUGUUAGGAAUUGCUUCAACAUCAUAGUUCCUAAGGUGCAAGAAGUCUGGUCCUUCCCACCACAAUCGAUUCUUCUUUAGAUCAACAGGAUAUUGACUUCGCGAAACAAUAUCAACUGGGUUGAAUUCUGUGCGAACAUGUCUCCAUUCGCAAUUAUUUGUUGAGCGAUUCAUUUCGAUAACUCUGUUGCGUUGGAAAACCUCUAAUUUAUGAACCGACUUCUUCAGCCAGCACAACACAAUUUGACUAUCUGACCACAGCCAAAUAUCAUCAAUGGAUAGUUUCAUUGCGGCAGAAACCUUCUCCAUCAAUCGAGCCAGAAGUAAUGCAGCAUAUAAUUCUUUUCUGGGAAUGGUCAUCUCGAUAAUCGGAACAAUUUUAGAACUGAUGCACAGUAAAUUAACUGUUACUGAUCCAUCCUUUUUAAAACAUCGCAGGUAGACACACGCCCCACAUGCCUUAAUGGAAGCAUCGGCAAAUCCAUGUAUUUCUAUACGAGUGGAGUUUGAUUCAACUAUGCAUAUAGGCGUCCGCAGUUCAGCAAUCUCCGACAAUGAGUCUCUAAAAAUAAUCCCCUCUCGAAGCAAGUCAGAAUCGAACUUGUCGCCCCAAUCAAUUUCGGAGGUCCAAAUACGUUGCAUCUGUAUUUUAGCAAGUACUAGUACAGGAGGCACUAGUCCCAACGGAUCAAAUAAUCUAGCGAUUUCUGAGAAAACGUACCUCUUAGUGACCAGCUUGUCAAUGAUAGCAUCACCGACUUCGAAUCGGAAACUAUUAGGAAUUGAAUCCCACAAUAUUCCGAGUGAUUCAACUGAUCCAUACACAGAAAGUUCAUCGAAUGUAGUGCAGAUUUCUCUCGCCAACAGCUUCUGGAAUUCUUCUUGUAAACGGACUGCUUCAUUGUAACUUUCAGCUCCAGACAAUACAUCAGUAGUGAGCUCUAACACCUUUAAUGGUUCUGAAGGAAAUUUUCGCCAGAAUAUGCGCUGGAAGCGAGUUUGAUGUUCAUCAAUAUUAAUUUGUCGAUACAUCUUGCUGAUGUCAGUGAUAAAUGCACGACGAUGUUUUUUAAAUCUCAGGACCAUCGAAAAAAUAUGGCUCUGUAUCGUGGGACCUUCCUUCAGUACGUCGUUUAAAGAAUGUUGAGAUGAUUUUGCUGUUCCAUUAAACAUAACUCGAAGCUUAGUUGUUGUACUAGAAGGUUUUAAAGCAGCAUGAACAGGAGGAUAAUAGACUUGAACACUUGGCGGAUCCUGCCCAUCAUCGAUUUUGUUACCAUGACCAACAUUGAGAUAUUCAUCAAUGAAACUGCAGUACUGACGCUUGAUAUCUGGUUGACGGAUGCUACUUAGAUCACUUUCGGUUUCUCUGAGUGGAAAUUGCAUGAUGAAUCUCCCGGUUUCAUUACGACUGUGUGUUCGCUGGAAAAGCUCUUCAGUUCUUUCCUUUUCGGUUGUGUGUAAUGGGCUGAAUCCGACGUCUUCUAUCUCCCACAGACGUUGAAUGCUUUGUAUAAAAUCUUCAGUUGUUACCUCAUUCGAAUGUAUUUCUGUUUGUUGAUGUACUAUGACUGGAAGCUGAUUACUACCUGCUGAGUUGUUCUGCACACCACCUGGAUCAGUGACAUAAGCUUGCAGUAGUUCCUCGAUGGUGGUUGACACUGAAUUGAAACGGCUUUCAAAGUCAAUGUAGAUUUCCUCUUGAAUCUGAAUCGCUUCAUCGGAAAUAAUCGCAAUUACUUCGCUGUGGAUACCACUGAACUCCGAGUAUGCCGCAUCGACAUUUUUAGAAAACGUUUUCAGCUGCGCCAUACUGACUUGGUUCCUUGCAGCUAUAAGAGCAUCCUGCACACGAACAAUCUUCUGAUUCGCUUGCUCACGUUGACGAAAUAAAGACGCUAAUAGUAUUUGGCUGUCAGAAUCGACAGCGAGCUCCCAAUUAACAAAACUUAUAAAACUUGCAGACUCAUCUGCACACUGUGUAAGUGUCGGCACUGUCUUAGAGCCUUCAGCACUGGUGGCUUUGUUUGGGAUAUAUUGCGUCGUCAUUUUUUACGGUAUAGUUUGUUAAUCGUUCAACACUGUUCCUCACGUUAAAAAACCACAAAUGUUCCUUUUCACAAAAGCCCUCGUUGUCCAAGCCACGAGAGACGCUUACUGGUAUAAUGUUUAUCACAAGUUCACAAAAAAACUUAUUGCAGGAGGAUAUCGAUCAAUUGUAAUGCAAUGUUCUUUCGACACCUCUAUUCACAAAUGAAGGGAUCUAUCGUUGUUUGGCAGCUUCACGCAGAAGCACUACCACAGGAAAUUUUUCAAAUAAGUUGAUCAAUUGCUACGCAAUGUUCUUUCAACUUAUUCACUUCACGCAACACACUUUAUUCUCAAAUGAAGGGCAGUUUCACGCAGAAACACUACCGCAAGAGAAUUUCACACAUGUUGAUCAAUUGCUACGCAAUGUUUUUUCAACUAAUUAAUUUCACGUAAAACACUUGUGAAUGAAUUUCAUUCUAAUUCCACAGGGUAGCAGAAGCCGAUCCGGUUCGAAGGACCAAAUGUUAGCGCAUAAACCGGGCUAACUGCGGUUGGAUGGUUCUGGCUAAGCACACUGUGGAAAUUGAAAAACACAAGUUUUUGGAGUCCAAAAUUUCUCUUUAUAUUUCACUCAUUACACAACAUUUAGUAAUCACUUUGUCGUUGGCGGUUAGGAAAAUAACUGGGAUCAUGAAUCACGUUGUGCGUUGCUUUUAUGUUUGUCGGAAGUUGGUGAUUAUCCUGUCGGCUCGACUCGGCUCGCUCGGGUGCUGUUCGUUUGUAAUGUUGCUACUUAUUUCAUCUCGCUCUCGCACGUUGCGGGUGAUACGAUGGAAUGAAAUGGAGAGCCUUUGCUUCGGGUAGUGAAUGGAAAAUUUAUGUUGCUGACAAAAUGGAGGAUUUCAAUUUAUUUGUCCUGACAUGUCAGAACACGUAAGCGCUCGCUACACGUGGCGCGAACAAUUUUCGUAAUGAUUGAUUAUAGAGGUUUUUUAUUGUUGCUUUGGACUAGAGGGCGCUAUAUUCUUUUUAUAUAUUUUCUUGAAAGCUGAGGAAUAUUUACAUAGCAUAUUUCGAUAUCACAGAGGCUCAUUUUUUCGUUUUUGAGAUAUGAUUGACAUGGAAAUUAUAUAUUUGAACAAACUUCUUCUGGUGUCGAUAGUUAUCUCCUGUAUUGUUGUUUGUUGUUUUAGUAUUACGAAAAUGCGUAUUUGAGAUUGCGUUAUUUACGUAUGAACGGGAGCGCAAUUUUCAUUAUGAAUUUAUUUUUCCGUAAUGAAAUUUAUUCUAGGGUCAAUGUAACGGUGACGAAGUCUCCAUCUAACGAGGAUAAGGAACCGAGGCGACCCUAAGCCGUCGAGGUGACGCAAUCCUGGUCGACCGCCGACCAAGUAUGGAAAAGUUCAUUCGCUCAUUUCUUCACACCUGAUCAUAAAUCACUCUUGUAUCUGCUUUGAAUAAUAAUGGUGAAAAGAAUGCAGCAAGCAAUCGUGAGAUUGCACGAUGAAUCAUCUUAAUUCGGGACUGAGAGUGAACAUAACAAAACAAAGAAUGGAAAACAACAUUCAAUGAAUGAAUACAACUUUGGAAGGAUCGCAUGAAACAAAAUAACGAGUGAGACAAGAUAGACUCAAUCUGCGUGUAUGUAUGAUUUUAUUUUCCCUUGUACUAUUUUCCUUGUCAGCAUUCAAGUGCAUUUGUUAUCGACAAUGCACAUGAAUCUACCUUCCCGCUCACCAAUAACUUGCGUUAAUAUGGUCUUUUGCAAUGGGUUAGAUCGUUUCAUACUAGAAACAAAAAAAAAGUCAUUGCAAUAGUGCACAGGAAACAACUCAAUUUCAACUAUCUACCUAUAUUUUACUGCCGCGAUCGAGGCUUAAUAAUUGCUAUUUGAGUGAAAAAAUCAUUCACAGAGACACUCGCUGGCUCAAGCAAAAGUUUCCAAUUUGAUACUCUCACCAUCUAACCUUAUUCCGAGAGGCAAAUGAGGGAAUGCAAAAUUCUCUGAGAAUAGAUGAGCGGAAUCGAGACAGUGGGCCUGAUCACGAACGUCACUUCACGGUGAAAACGAAGUGAAUUGUACACAUCCUUAUUACGGCUGUCACCGUGUGUGUAGAAUCCAGAAGAGUUCAUCCGUCGUGACAACUUUGAUGAAUUCGGUGUUAUUAUGAAUACCAUGAUACUGUCAUGUCACGGAGAAAAACAGUAAACGCCUGACACGCAGCUGCUCCCAGGCGUUCACCUGCAGCUUCUGCAAGACCAACGGCACAAUCAAAACCAACACAUUCAUCAACAAGGAAG